CCUACGGGCGGCAGCAGUAGGGAAUCUUUCACAAUGGGCGAAAGCCUGAUGGAGCAACGCCGCGUGCAGGAUGAAGGCCUUCGGGUUGUAAACUGCUUUUAUAAGCGAGAAAUAUGAUGGUAACUUAUGAAUAAGGAUCGGCUAACUACGUGCCAGCAGCCGCGGUCAUACGUAGGAUCCGAGCAUUAUCCGGAGUGACUGGGUGUAAAGAGUUGCGUAGGUGGCAUAAUAGGUAGCUAGUGAAAUCUGGUGGCUCAACCAUUCAGACUAUUAGCUAAACUGUUAAGCUCGAGACCGUUAGGGGUAACUGGAAUGUCUAGUGUAGGAGUGAAAUCCGUAGAUAUUAGAAGGAACACCAAUAGCGUAGGCAGGUUGCUGGGACGGUUCUGACACUAAGGCACGAAAGCGUAGGGAGCAAACGGGAUUAGAUACCCGUGUAGUC
rnacentral:rRNA from 1 species